rnacentral:rRNA from 1 species
GUCUUUUAGAAUAUAAUUUAAAGUCUAACCUGCCCACUGAAUUUAUUUGAAGGGCCGCGGUAUUUUGACUGUGCAAAGGUAGCAUAAUCAUUAGUCUUUUAAUUGGAGGCUUGUAUGAAUGGUUGGAUGAAACAUUAACUGUCUCGAUUUAAUAAAAAUAGAAUUUAAUUUUUAAGUUAAAAAGCUUAAAUAUAAUUAGAGGACGAGAAGACCCUAUAGAUCUUUAUAUUUAAUUAUUUAUUAUUAAUAUAGAAUAUUAAUUGUUAUUAAUUAAUUAAUUAUUUUAUUGGGGUGAUAAAUAAAUUUAAUAAACUUUAUUUUAUAUAAACAUUUAUUUAUGAAUAUUUGAUCCAUUAUUAGUGAUUAAAAGAUUAAGUUACCUUAGGGAUAACAGCGUAAUUUUUUUAGAGAGUUCUUAUCGAUAAAAAAGUUUGCGACCUCGAUGUUGAAUUAAAGGUUAAUUUUAGGUGCAGAAGUUUAAAGUUUUGGUCUGUUCGACCAUUAAAUC